CCUACGGGAGGCUGCAGUGAGGAAUAUUGGUCAAUGGACGGAAGUCUGAACCAGCCAUGCCGCGUGCAGGAAGACGGCUCUAUGAGUUGUAACCUGCUUUUGUACAAGGGUAAACCUGAAUACGUGUAUUCCGCUGAGCGUACUGUACGAAUAAGGUUCGGCUAACUCCGUGCCAGCCGCCGCGCUAAUACGGAGGAUCCAAGCGUUAUCCGGAUUUAUUGGGUUUAAAGGGUGCGUAGGCGGAUUGAUAAGUUAGAGGUGAAAUGUCCGAGCUUAACUCGGGAACUGCCUCUAAUACUGUUGAGCUAGAGAGUAGAUGCGGUAGGCGGAAUGUAUGGUGUAGCAGUGAAAUGCUUAGAUAUCAUACAGAACACCGAUUGCGAAGGCAGCUUACCAAGCUAUAUCUGACGUUGAGGCACGAAAGCGUGGGGAGCAAACAGGAUUAGAUACCCGAGUAGUC
rnacentral:rRNA from 1 species